rnacentral:ncRNA from 3 species
CCUUUAUCCCGUGGUGAUUUGGCCGGUCGGCUUGCAGCCACGUUAAACAAGUCGCUAAAGGGCCGCGUUUGGACCGGU